rnacentral:rRNA from 1 species
GACGAACCGUGCAAACGUUGUUCGGAAUCACUGGGCUUAAAGGGCGCGUAGGCGGACCACCAAGUCAGGGGUGAAAUCCUGCGGCUCAACCGUAGAAGUGCCUUUGAUACUGGUGGUCUCGAGGGAGGUAGGGGCGUGCGGAACUUCCGGUGGAGCGGUGAAAUGCGUAGAUAUCGGAAGGAACACCGGUGGCGAAAGCGGCGCGCUGGACCUCUUCUGACGCUGAGGUGCGAAAGCGUGGGGAGCAAACAGG